rnacentral:rRNA from 1 species
UACGGAGGAUCCAAGCGUUAUCCGGAAUCAUUGGGUUUAAAGGGUCCGUAGGCGGUUUAAUAAGUCAGUGGUGAAAUCUGGUCGCUCAACGAUCAAACGGCCAUUGAUACUGUUAGACUUGAAUUAUAAGGAAGUAACUAGAAUAUGUAGUGUAGCGGUGAAAUGCUUAGAUAUUACAUGGAAUACCAAUUGCGAAGGCA